GUGCUCACCUUGGCAGCACAUUGACUCAAGUUGGAGCAACACAGAGAAGAUGAGCACGGCCCCUUCUUCUACUAAGCAAAUUGGAUUUCAGGUAACAACUAGCACUUUUUU
rnacentral:snRNA from 1 species